rnacentral:rRNA from 1 species
UACGUAGGGGGCAAGCGUUAUCCGGAUUUACUGGGUGUAAAGGGAGCGUAGACGGCGAAGCAAGUCUGGUGUGAAAACCCGGGGCUCAACCCCGGGCCUGCAUUGGAAACUGCUUUGCUCGAGUGCCGGAGAGGUAAGCGGAAUUCCUAGUGUAGCGGUGAAAUGCGUAGAUAUUAGGAGGAACACCAGUGGCGAAGGCGGCUUACUGGACGGUAACUGACGUUGAGGCUCGAAAGCGUGGGGAGCAAACAGG